rnacentral:tRNA from 1 species
GCUGGAAUGGUCUAGUUGGUUAUGACGACUGCCUAACACGCAGUAAGUCCCGAGUUCGACUCUCGGUUCCAGUA